rnacentral:lncRNA from 1 species
UAUGGAUUCUAAAAGACUACGGAGAGAAUCAGAGAGAGCACUACACUGGUCAAUUACAGCUCAAAUUCAUUUGCUUUCCAUCUAUUUUCAAAUGCUUUCAAAGAUAUUAAGUAUAUAAAAAAACCAAGAUUCCUAUUUUUGUUAAUGCAGUAACGAGUUUAUGUCCUGUUGUUGCCGUAUUUUCAGCACAGAUCUCUCCAGUACUUCUGAGCAACCAUCUUUCAAGCUUUCCUGUACCUACUUAUAAAGUCUGGCGCCUGGACUCUUUUUCCACAACUGACGCUUGGACUACUGCAGUCAUUUGCCAACAAGAACAGAGGUCCAGGAGUACCUGGGAGUUUAGUCCACAUACCCUUUCCCCAAUGACUGACUGCUGCCGGGGUAGGAAAGCCCAGCUUUCUUGCCCGGACUUUGACCAAAUUCUGAACCAUAAUUUAUACGGCAGUGCUCUGCUGCAUGAUCAUGCUGGAGCUGGAACUUCGCCUAAAAUCGCGUACAUUCUGGGUUUCUUCCUGUCUUGACCUGCUUCUCCCGCUCCCUUAUGAAUUUUUUUUCUGGUAGCAAAUUCUUAAUAAAUCACUUGCACAAGAAUCUUCAUCUAAGGUUUGAUUUUGGGGAACCCCACUUACAACAAUUAUACUAUACUUUUACUUUAUUUCUCCUAAGCUCGAGAACAUUACUUAAUUCAACAGGGAUUGAGUGAUAAAUAUGUGCUUAAUUCCUAGUAUGGAGAAUAUGUUAGUGGUAAU